rnacentral:rRNA from 1 species
CAGUAGCCACGGUAAUACGUAGGGUGCAAGCGUUAAUCGGAAUUACUGGGCGUAAAGCGUGCGCAGGCGGUUAUAUAAGACAGAUGUGAAAUCCCCGGGCUCAACCUGGGAACUGCAUUUGUGACUGUAUAGCUAGAGUACGGCAGAGGGGGAUGGAAUUCCGCGUGUAGCAGUGAAAUGCGUAGAUAUGCGGAGGAACACCGAUGGCGAAGGCAAUCCCCUGGGCCUGUACUGACGCUCAUGCACGAAAGCGUGGGGAGCAAACAGGAUUAGAUACCCCGGUAGUCCCUGUCUCUUAUAU